GAUGAACGCUGGCGGCGUGCCUAAUACAUGCAAGUCGAGCGAACAGACGAGGAGCUUGCUCCUCUGACGUUAGCGGCGGACGGGUGAGUAACACGUGGAUAACCUACCUAUAAGACUGGGAUAACUUCGGGAAACCGGAGCUAAUACCUGAUAACAUGUUGAACCGCAUGGUUCAACAGUGAAAGACGGUCUUGCUGUCACUUAUAGAUGGAUCCGCGCCGCAUUAGCUAGUUGGUAAGGUAACGGCUUACCAAGGCAACGAUGCGUAGCCGACCUGAGAGGGUGAUCGGCCACACGGGAACUGAGACACGGUCCAGACUCCUACGGGAGGCAGCAGUAGGGAAUCUUCCGCAAUGGGCGAAAGCCUGACGGAGCAAAGCCGCGUGAGUGAAGAAGGUCUUCGGAUCGUAAAACUCUGUUAUUAGGGAAGAACAAAUGUGUAAGUAACUAUGCACGUCUUGACGGUACCUAAUCAGAAAGCCACGGCUAACUACGUG
rnacentral:rRNA from 1 species